rnacentral:rRNA from 1 species
GAUGAACGCUGGCGGCGUGCCUAAUACAUGCAAGUCGAGCGAACGGACGAGAAGCUUGCUUCUCUGAUGUUAGCGGCGGACGGGUGAGUAACACGUGGAUAACCUACCUAUAAGACUGGGAUAACUUCGGGAAACCGGAGCUAAUACCGGAUGAUAUUUUGAACCGCAUGGUUCAAAAGUGAAAGACGGUCUUGCUGUCACUUAUAGAUGGAUCCGCGCUGCAUUAGCUAGUUGGUAAGGUAACGGCUUACCAAGGCAACGAUGCAUAGCCGACCUGAGAGGGUGAUCGGCCACACUGGAACUGAGACACGGUCCAGACACCUACGGGAGGCAGCAGUAGGGAAUCUUCCGCAAUGGGCGAAAGCCUGACGGAGCAACGCCGCGUGAGUGAUGAAGGUCUUCGGAUCGUAAAACUCUGUUAUUAGGGAAGAACAUAUGUGUGAGUAACUGUGCGCAUCUUGACGGUACCUAAUCAGAAAGCCACGGCUAACUACGUG